rnacentral:lncRNA from 1 species
UAUUGUAUGAAAAAUCUUCGACAGUUAUUGUUCCGAAUUGUCUCGUCGAGUGAUUUGUAUAUUGAUUGUAGUUGUGUCUGCAUAAUACACCAACUACAAGACACACAAAGUCCAUCAGUCAAGAAACGCUGCAUAGCUCACCUAAAGUCAUCAAUACCAUUCAAAUGAGAAGGAAUCUUUGUUGAACGUUGUCAUUUAUACUGCAUUAGGUUGCAUGUUUAAUGUUUUCUUUAUCAUGAGGCAUUGCGAUAAUUAAGCUGAUAGAUAUCGAGCCAACAUUAUUACUAUUCAUCCAGAAGUUGCCACUACUGUUUGCAGAACUGGUGAUAACAUCAUAACGAAGACUUUAAUUUGGUAAUUUAGUCAUCUAAUCCAGAUUUUUCCGAGAUGCUAUUCUUUCUUCCUUUAAGAGGAUUAUCAAGAGAGAGAAAGAGAGACAAAGAGAAUCGUAAGAUCAAAUAUUUGUUAAUGUACUACAAUUGGCAGUAGUUUUGAUCACUUCUACGUAUGAUCGAAGCAGCAACAAGAAAAGUGUUGCUGAUUUACAUUUGUCUAAUAAUCUGCGCUAACGGCACACCCUGCCUCUUGACGCCCUACUUAAGUGACCACAAGGAUUGUUCACUGUAACAGGUCCAUAAACAGGCACUUUAUUCACUUGAAAAGCAAGAGCAGCAGUUUAUUAAUACAGACAUAUCCUAAAGCGGAUUUAUAGUAUCAUCAGUUUGGACUGACUGCAGGCGUUCCUAUUGUCAAUGAGUGAAUUCUAUGUACAUGAUCCAACUUAUAACCCGACAUUCCAUCGUCAAGCAAGUUGAUGUUGUACGUCAACUAUUCAUGUUCUUAUAAGCGACACGAAUAAACGCAAGAAUUGUUCAUUGCAACAGGCCUAGUAUCGGCAGCUUCAUUACUUCGAAAAGCAAGAGCGAAACUUUAAAACUGGUAUUUGGUUUUAAUUCUUUAAAAUGCCAAGAAAGUGUUAUGGCAAACCUUAUACGACAAGGCAUAUCCGCCGACAAAUCAGUGAAAGAAGAGCAUCUAUAAUGAAAGAUGUAAAUGCUCAAUUUUUACAAUAUCUUGACUUAGCCUGCCAAACCUUUGAAAAUGAUUGCG